AUGGAUCCCCUGGCCGUGCUCCGGGACUACGCCGCCCGCGGCGACCUGGACAAGAUCAUCUUCAACGGCGACGACGUGCUCUUCGGCGACGACUACACCUUCCCGGCCAACGUCCCCACCGCCUUCACCUCCAAGCAGUCGGGCCGCCCCUACCCGCUCUCCGCCGCCGUCUUCCUCGCGCAGCACAACGACCUCAAGCACACCGACUUCCUCCAGGCCGCCCGCCUCCGCCGGAUCCCGCCCGUUUCCCUCCCGGACCGCAAGACCUUCCUCGACUUCCUCCACUUCGGGGACAGCUCCCUCCCCUCCGCCGAGCCCCUCCUCCCCUCCUCCUUCGCGCAGGACGCCCACCCGCCCCCGCCGCCGCCGCCCCCGGAGGAGGAGGGGGAGGACCCCGACGCCGACGAGGCCUCCACCGCCCACGUCCGCGCCCUCGAGCGGCCCCUCAAGGACCGCAACGCCGUCCUCGACGCCCGCGGCCGCGACUUCCUCGCCAUCUACCACGCCGCGCUGCGCCGCGAGGAGGACCGCCUGCGGAACAAGGACGCCGUGCCCUCCGCCACGGGCCGGCACGAGCCAUCCGCCACAGCCGCCGCCGCCCUCGCGAACCCCAAGCUUGACAAGUCGCUCGGCGACGGCUUCGUGCCCAUCAUACUGGUGCCUAGCGCGUCACAGACGCUGAUAACAAUCUACAACGUGAAGGACUUCCUGGAGGACUUCGUGUUCGUGCCCAGCGACGAGAAGAUGCGGGCCAUGAAGGGGAGCCCCAAGCCCGAGUGCGUCACCCUGCAGAAGAAGCACGUCCGCGGGGCUGGCGGUCCGGUGGCAUUCGAGGUCAGGGACAAGCCGGCCUCGCUCAAGGCCGACGACUGGGCGCGGGUCGUGGCCGUGUUUGUGCUCGGAAAGGAGUGGCAGUUCAAGGACUGGCCCUUCAAGGGUCAUGUCGACAUCUUCAACAAAGUUAUUGGGUUCUUUGUACGCUUUGAAGAUGAUAGUGUGGAUUCAGCAAAAGUGGUCAAGCAGUGGAAUGUCAAAAUCAUAUCUAUAAGCAAGAAUAAAAGGCAUCAGGACAGACCAGCUGCUCUUGAGGUGUGGGAUCGGCUGGAUGAAUUUGUGCGGGCACGCUCAUAG
rnacentral:rRNA from 1 species